UGGAGGCUUACAAAUGUCUCUAAUGACAUC
rnacentral:piRNA from 1 species